rnacentral:rRNA from 1 species
GGCAAUAUCUUUUAGAUAUUGGGUAGGGGAGCGUUCUGUAAGCCGUUGAAGGUGAAUCGUAAGGUUUGCUGGAGGUAUCAGAAGUGCGAAUGCUGACAUGAGUAACGACAAAGGGGGUGAAAAACCUCCUCGCCGGAAGACCAAGGGUUCCUGUCCAACGUUAAUCGGGGCAGGGUGAGUCGACCCCUAAGGUGAGGCCGAAAGGCGUAAUCGAUGGGAAACGGGUUAAUAUUCCCGUACUUCUGACUAUUGCGAUGGGGGGACGGAGAAGGCUAGGUGGGCCAGGCGACGGUUGUCCUGGUUCAAGUGCGUAGGCUUGAGAGUUAGGUAAAUCCGGCUCUCUCUAAGGCUGAGACACGACGUCGAGCUGCUACGGCAGUGAAGUCAUUGAUGCCAUGCUUCCAGGAAAAGCCUCUAAGCUUCAGAUAGUCAGGAAUCGUACCCCAAACCGACACAGGUGGUCGGGUAGAGAAUACCAAGGCGCUUGAGAGAACUCGGGUGAAGGAACUAGGCAAAAUGGUACCGUAACUUCGGGAGAAGGUACGCUCUUGAUGGUGAAGUCCCUCGCGGAUGGAGCUGACGAGAGUCGCAGAUACCAGGUGGCUGCAACUGUUUAUUAAAAACACAGCACUGUGCAAAAUCGCAAGAUGACGUAUACGGUGUGACGCCUGCCCGGUGCCGGAAGGUUAAUUGAUGGGGUUAGCGCAAGCGAAGCUCUUGAUCGAAGCCCCGGUAAACGGCGGCCGUAACUAUAACGGUCCUAAGGUAGCGAAAUUCCUUGUCGGGUAAGUUCCGACCUGCACGAAUGGCGUAAUGAUGGCCACGCUGUCUCCACCCGAGACUCAGUGAAAUUGAAAUCGCUGUGAAGAUGCAGUGUACCCGCGGCUAGACGGAAAGACCCCGUGAACCUUUACUACAGCUUGGCACUGAACAUUGAACCUACAUGUGUAGGAUAGGUGGGAGGCUAUGAAGACGUGACGCCAGUUGCGUUGGAGCCGUCCUUGAAAUACCACCCUUGUAUGUUUGAUGUUCUAACUUAGACCCGUUAUCCGGGUUGAGGACAGUGCCUGGUGGGUAGUUUGACUGGGGCGGUCUCCUCCCAAAGAGUAACGGAGGAGCACGAAGGUGGGCUAAUCACGGUUGGACAUCGUGAGGUUAGUGCAAUGGCAUAAGCCCGCUUAACUGCGAGAAUGACGGUUCGAGCAGGUGCGAAAGCAGGUCAUAGUGAUCCGGUGGUUCUGUAUGGAAGGGCCAUCGCUCAACGGAUAAAAGGUACUCCGGGGAUAACAGGCUGAUACCGCCCAAGAGUUCAUAUCGACGGCGGUGUUUGGCACCUCGAUGUCGGCUCAUCACAUCCUGGGGCUGAAGUCGGUCCCAAGGGUAUGGCUGUUCGCCAUUUAAAGUGGUACGCGAGCUGGGUUUAGAACGUCGUGAGACAGUUCGGUCCCUAUCUGCCGUGGGCGUUGGAAGAUUGAAGGGGGCUGCUCCUAGUACGAGAGGACCGGAGUGGACGAACCUCUGGUGUUCGGGUUGUGUCGCCAGACGCAUUGCCCGGUAGCUAAGUUCGGAAUUGAUAAGCGCUGAAAGCAUCUAAGCGCGAAGCGAGCCCUGAGAUGAGUCUUCCCUGACAGUUUAACUGUCCUAAAGGGUUGUUCGAGACUAGAACGUUGAUAGGCAGGGUGUGUAAGCGUUGUGAGGCGUUGAGCUAACCUGUACUAAUUGCCCGUGAGGCUUAACCAUACAACACCCAAGGGGUUUUGUA